rnacentral:rRNA from 1 species
GACGAACGCUGGCGGCGUGCUUAACACAUGCAAGUCGAACGGAAAGGCCCGGCUUUUGUGGGGUGCUCGAGUGGCGAACGGGUGAGUAACACGUGAGUAACCUGCCCUUGACUUUGGGAUAACUCCAGGAAACGGGGGCUAAUACCGGAUAGGAGCUCCUGCUGCAUGGUGGGGGUUGGAAAGUUUCGGCGGUUGGGGAUGGACUCGCGGCUUAUCAGCUGGUUGGUGGGGUAGUGGCUUACCAGGGCUUUGACGGGUAGCCGGCCUGAGAGGGUGACCGGCCACAUUGGGACUGAGAUACGGCCCAGACUCCUACGGGAGGCAGCAGUGGGGAAUAUUGCACAAUGGGCGGAAGCCUGAUGCAGCAACGCCGCGUGCGGGAUGACGGCCUUCGGGUUGUAAACCGCUUUCGCCUGUGACGAAGCGUGAGUGACGGUAAUGGGUAAAGAAGCACCGGCUAACUACGUG